GGAAUUACUGGGCGUAAAGCGAGCGUAGGUGGCUUGAUAAGUCAGAUGUGAAAUCCCCGGGCUUAACUGGGAACUGCAUCUGAUACUGUUAAGCUAGAGUAGGUGAGAGGGAAGUAGAAUUCCAGGUGUAGCGGUGAAAUGCGUAGAGAUCUGGAGGAAUACCGAUGGCGAAGGCAGCUUCCUGGCAUCAUACUGACACUGAGGCUCGAAAGCGUGGGUAGCAAACAGGAUUAGAUACCCUGGUAGUCCACGCCGUAAACGAUGUCUACUAGUCGUUGGGGAACUUGAUUCCUUAGUGACGCAGCUAACGCAAUAAGUAGACCGCCUGGGGAGUACGGCCGCAAGGUUAAAACUCAAAUGAAUUGACGGGGGCCCGCACAAGCGGUGGAGCAUGUGGUUUAAUUCGAUGCAACGCGAAGAACCUUACCUGGUCUUGACAUAUCUAGAAUCCUGCAGAGAUGCGGGAGUGCCUUCGGGAAUUAGAAUACAGGUGCUGCAUGGCUGUCGUCAGCUCGUGUCGUGAGAUGUUGGGUUAAGUCCCGCAACGAGCGCAACCCUUGUCCUUAGUUACCAGCGGGUUAAGCCGGGAACUCUAAGGAUACUGCCAGUGACAAACUGGAGGAAGGCGGGGACGACGUCAAGUCAUCAUGGCCCUUACGACCAGGGCUACACACGUGCUACAAUGGUAGGUACAGAGGGCAGCUACACAGCGAUGUGAUGCGAAUCUCAAAAAGCCUAUCGUAGUCCAGAUUGGAGUCUGCAACUCGACUCCAUGAAGUAGGAAUCGCUAGUAAUCGCGGAUCAGAAUGCCGCGGUGAAUACGUUCCCGGGCCUUGUACACACCGCCCGUCACACCAUGGGAGUUGAUUGCACCAGAAG
rnacentral:rRNA from 1 species